rnacentral:rRNA from 1 species
GAUGAACGCUAGCGGCGUGCCUAAUACAUGCAAGUCGAGCGAACGGACGAGAAGCUUGCUUCUCUGAUGUUAGCGGCGGACGGGUGAGUAACACGUGGAUAACCUACCUAUAAGACUGGGAUAACUUCGGGAAACCGGAGCUAAUACCGGAUGAUAUUUUGAAUCGCAUGGUUCAAAAGUGAAAGACGGUCUUUCUGUCACUUAUAGAUGGAUCCGCGCUGCAUUAACUAGUUGGUAAGGUAACGGCUUACCAAGGCAACGAUGCAUAGCCGACCUGAAAGGGUGAUCGGCCAGCCUGGAACUGAGGCACGGUCCAGACUCCGACGGGAGGCAACAGUAGGGAAUCUUCCGCAAUGGGCGAGAGCCUAACAGAGCAACGCCGCGUGAGUGAUGAAGGUGUUCGGAUCGUAAAACUCUGUUAUUAGGGAAGAACAUAUGUGUAAGUAACUGUGCACAUCUUGACGGUACCUAAUCAGAAAGCCACGGCUAACUACGUG